rnacentral:rRNA from 1 species
UGCAAGUCGAACGGCAGCGGGGACUUCGGUCCGCCGGCGAGUGGCGAACGGGUGAGUAAUAUAUCGGAACGUACCUUUCAGUGGGGGAUAACGUAGCGAAAGUUACGCUAAUACCGCAUAUUCUGUGAGCAGGAAAGCAGGGGAUCUUCGGACCUUGCGCUGAUUGAGCGGCCGAUAUCAGAUUAGCUAGUUGGUGAGGUAAAGGCUCACCAAGGCGACGAUCUGUAGCGGGUCUGAGAGGAUGAUCCGCCACACUGGAACUGAGACACGGUCCAGACUCCUACGGGAGGCAGCAGUGGGGAAUUUUGGACAAUGGGGGCAACCCUGAUCCAGCCAUGCCGCGUGAGUGAAGAAGGCCUUCGGGUUGUAAAGCUCUUUCGGCCGGGAAGAAAUCGCACAGGUUAAUACCCUGUGUGGAUGACGGUACCGGAAUAAGAAGCACCGGCUAACUAAGUGCCAGCAGCCGCGGUAAUACGUAGGGUGCGAGCGUUAAUCGGAAUUACUGGGCGUAAAGCGUGCGCAGGCGGUUUUGUAAGACAGGCGUGAAAUCCCCGGGCUCAACCUGGGAACUGCGUUUGUGACUGCAAGGCUAGAGUAUGGCAGAGGGGGGUGGAAUUCCACGUGUAGCAGUGAAAUGCGUAGAGAUGUGGAGGAACACCGAUGGCGAAGGCAGCCCCCUGGGCCAAUACUGACGCUCAUGCACGAAAGCGUGGGUAGCAAACAGGAUUAGAUACCCUGGUAGUCCACGCCCUAAACGAUGUCAACUAGGUGUUGGGUGGGUAAAACCAUUUAGUACCGGAGCUAACGCGUGAAGUUGACCGCCUGGGGAGUACGGCCGCAAGGUUAAAACUCAAAGGAAUUGACGGGGACCCGCACAAGCGGUGGAUGAUGUGGAUUAAUUCGAUGCAACGCGAAAAACCUUACCUACCCUUGACAUGUCCAGAAGCCCUUAGAGAUUUGGGUGUGCCCGAAAGGGAGCUGGAACACAGGUGCUGCAUGGCUGUCGUCAGCUCGUGUCGUGAGAUGUUGGGUUAAGUCCCGCAACGAGCGCAACCCUUGUCGUUAAUUGCCAUCAUUUAGUUGGGCACUUUAACGAGACUGCCGGUGACAAACCGGAGGAAGGUGGGGAUGACGUCAAGUCCUCAUGGCCCUUAUGGGUAGGGCUUCACACGUCAUACAAUGGUCGGUACAGAGGGUUGCCAAGCCGCGAGGUGGAGCCAAUCCCAGAAAGCCGAUCGUAGUCCGGAUCGUAGGCUGCAACUCGCCUGCGUGAAGUCGGAAUCGCUAGUAAUCGCGGAUCAGCAUGUCGCGGUGAAUACGUUCCCGGGUCUUGUACACACCGCCCGUCACACCAUGGGAGCGGGUUCCGCCAGAAGUAGGUAGCCUAACCGCAAGGGGGGCGCU